CAGCGCCCCGAGUGGCAAUCGCGUUUAUUGGGCCUAAAGCGUCCGUAGCCGGACUGAUAAAUCCGCUGUGAAAUGGUUGCGCUUAACGUAACCGCAUGCAGUGGACACUGUUAGUCUCGAGACCGGGAGGAGUUAGAGGUAUGCCUUGGGGACUGGUAAAAUGGUAUAAUCCAAGGUAGACCACCGAUGGCGAAGGCAUCUGACUAGAACGGAUCCGACUGUGAGGGACGAAAGCCAGGGGAGCGAACCGGAUUAGAUACCCGAGUAGUCC
rnacentral:rRNA from 1 species